rnacentral:rRNA from 1 species
CACACAGUAAACGAUAAUCACUAGGUGUCGGGUUCGAAGAGGAUUCGGUGCCGCAGCUAACGCGUUAAGUGAUUCGCCUGGGGAGUACGAUCGCAAGGUUGAAACUCAAAGGAAUUGACGGGGGCCCGCACAAGCGGUGGAGCAUGUGGUUUAAUUCGAAGCAACGCGAAGAACCUUACCCGGUCUUGACAUCCAAUGGAUCCUUCAGAGAUGAGGGAGUGCCGGCUUGCCGGAGCAUUGAGACAGGUGC